rnacentral:rRNA from 1 species
GACGAACGCUGGCGGCGUGCUUAACACAUGCAAGUCGAACGGAAAGGCCCUGCUUUUGUGGGGUGCUCGAGUGGCGAACGGGUGAGUAACACGUGAGUAACCUGCCCUUGACUUUGGGUUAACUUCAGGAAACUGGGGCUAAUACCGGAUAGGAGCUCCUGCUGGAUGGUGGGGGUUGGAAAGUUUCGGCGGUUGGGGAUGGACUCGCGGCUUAUCAGCUUGUUGGUGGGGUAGUGGCUUACCAAGGCUUUGACGGGUAGCCGGCCUGAGAGGGUGACCGGCCACAUUGGGACUGAGAUACGGCCCAGACUCCUACGGGAGGCAGCAGUGGGGAAUAUUGCACAAUGGGCGGAAGCCUGAUGCAGCAACGCCGCGUGCGGGAUGACGGCCUUCGGGUUGUAAACCGCUUUCGCCUGUGACGAAGCGUGAGUGACGGUAAUGGGUAAAGAAGCACCGGCUAACUACGUG